UACGAAGGGGGCUAGCGUUGUUCGGAAUCACUGGGCGUAAAGGGCGCGUAGGCGGCGGUUCAAGUCGGGGGUGAAAGCCUGUGGCUCAACCACAGAAUGGCCUCGAUACUGGACGGCUCGAGACCGGAAGAGGUCAGUGGAACUGCGAGUGUAGAGGUGAAAUUCGUAGAUAUUCGCAAGAACACCAGUGGCGAAGGCGGACUGACUGGUCCGGUUCUGACGCUGAGGCGCGAAAGCGUGGGGAGCAAACAGG
rnacentral:rRNA from 1 species